CUCUCUCUCUCUCUCUCUCUUUUAGUAUCUAUUUUAUGUGCACAUACUUUUCACACGCCUUUGGACCUUUGUGUCACAAUACAACUGGCAUAUGAGUUAUUUGAUUUGCCUCCUUCACUUGCUUAUGUCAUUUACAUUUAUAUAUACCCAUCUUUUAUGGUGAAAUAUGAAAUGCAUUAUAUUCAGGUCAAAAACGAGUUUUGAAAUUGCUGAAAGAAUGAGAAUCUAUCUUGUAGCCCAGAGCGUGUUAAAUUUCUGGCACUUUAGAUUUUUAGUUCCUCUAGGUAUGCAUGUUGAAGUUGGUUAACUAAAAGUUUCUUGGCAUUCCAUGCAUGAAAUUGAUCCUAGUUUUUGAAGUUUUGACUACACAUGUUAUAAAAUCCUUCCAUUUUCUACUGCAAAGUAUUGUCACAUUAAAGAAAUAUCGCAUAAGAUUUCUCCUGCUGUUAGGUCUUGUAGAUCCAGUUUACCAUGCCAUUUGCUUCAGAUUUUCUAGCCAGGAAGUACUUUGUGGCACUUGUGCUUUUCUUUUAAGGGAUUUUGGCAAUACCCUAUCAUUUUCAAAUGAAUUUGAUGUAAAGGAUAUGCAUUAGUAUUAAGGGCUAUGCAGGUAUCUCAAAUCCAAACAAUAAAAUGGAUAUCAUGUUUAAUGUCUUUUAUUUUUCCUGGUUUAAAUACUUGCAGAUCCAUACAAAUCAAUUAAGCCUUCAAAAAAUUCUAAAUUAUCAUGAUUUAGAUGCCCAAUCUUAUAUUUUGAUACAUGAAAGGAAGAAGACCAGGGGGAUCACUAGUAAAUUUGCUCAGUUACAUAGAUUGUUUUAACAAAGACUCAAGUCAAUUGGCAACCUAGAAAGCAGGUUGUCCAGUGAAAAAGAAAAGGUAAGAAAAAUAUGGAGGCAAGAAAAAUAUGAAGGAUAAUUUUAAGAGCAGGGAUAUUGUGGGAAAAGGCAAUUCAUUUGAACCCCAUAAAUGGUCUAUCCCAGAAUGAGUUGAAUGAGUAUUAUUUAUUGCAUAAAUUGGGAUGAAUGAGUUAGGCAAUUAACUAUUUACCCAGAAUUUAGGAACGGUUGUUUCAUUUAUUUAUAAAAUUCUUGCUUGCUUCGUUUUGGUGUUAUGGAUUUGACAAUUCCUUCUAACAGAUCAAUACAAAUUAAGUAGGGAAACAGACUGUGAUAAGCACUUUUUGAGAAGCUAUUGCUAUUCUUGAGCCUUUGAUGUUUAGUGGAACUUCAGAUGAAGUUGUAAAUUGUUCCCAUGGGAAACAACUCUGGGAACUGUGUAAAGAA
rnacentral:misc_RNA from 1 species